AUUUUCUCUCACUAAGAUUUACCUCUUCAAUUCUCCCUUAUUAUUCAUAUUCUGCGCAUAGCUCUUUCCCCAUUUUUUGAUCUCAGAAAUCGGAUUCUCAACGAUUCCAUUAAUUAAGGAUUGGCUGAUAAAUUGAUGGAGGAGAGACUACCGGAACACUUACAGGACCUGAUCAGUGCGCAAAAUGGGUGUUUGUGUCAACUCUCCUUGAGGGUGCCGAGUGAUUGUCUUAUGGACAAAGAAAUACAGCCGGUGACUUAGAUGUAAUGUUCUUAAGGUCAAGAUAUGCUGCACUUUUUCGAAAAUAUGACUAAUAAAAGCUUGAUGUUGGAGCCAUUGGUGAUAAUGAGGCACCUCCAAGGCAUAACAUGUCUCACAUAGUUCGUGAUGGUCGUGAAACAAUUGUAAUACAAUAGUUAUGUUUUUAUAGUAGAUGGUUAAUCUUGUUUUAUUCUAAACUACUUCGUCUAUUAUAAAUUAAUUUAUGUAGCAGUUGAUUCUGCAUACUUAUUAUUUUGAUCAACUUUU